UACGUAGGAGGCAAGCGUUGUCCGGAUUUACUGGGCGUAAAGAGCGCGCAGGCGGUCGUUCAAGUCGCGUGUGAAAGCCCCCGGCUCAACUGGGGAGGGUCACGCGAUACUGAUCGACUCGAAGGCAGGAGAGGGUAGUGGAAUUCCCGGUGUAGUGGUGAAAUGCGUAGAUAUCGGGAGGAACACCAGUGGCGAAGGCGACUACCUGGCCUGUUUCUUGACGCUGAGGCGCGAAAGCUAGGGGAGCAAACGGG
rnacentral:rRNA from 1 species